rnacentral:rRNA from 1 species
UACGUAGGGUGCAAGCGUUAUCCGGAAUUAUUGGGCGUAAAGAGCUCGUAGGCGGUUUGUCGCGUCUGCUGUGAAAACUGGGGGCUCAACCCCCAGCCUGCAGUGGGUACGGGCAGACUAGAGUGCGGUAGGGGGAGAUUGGAAUUCCUGGUGUAGCGGUGGAAUGCGCAGAUAUCAGGAGGAACACCGAUGGCGAAGGCAGAUCUCUGGGCCGUAACUGACGCUGAGGAGACGAAAGCAUGGGGAGCGAACAGG